CGCGUACAUACGGCGUCACUCGAAGGUUGGCGUACCGCUUGAAAGAAGGAGUUUCUGUGUCAGGGAUUUCGCGAGAGUUUUCUGUUAGAGGGCUUUUUCGAUUGUUUCAAUUGAUUAUCUGGCUUUUCUGUUCAGUUUUCGUGUCGUACUCAUGGUCUUCAAUAUAGAUUUUGAUCGUUAGAGCUUUUCGUUAGAAACACUGUUGCUUACGGUCGAACUGCAAUUUGUAGGGUUGCCUCGAAUCCAUCAACUCAGCCGCUCCUGGAGGCUGGAGACCGAAGAGGCACAUUUGUAAGGUGAAUAUAUUACGAUAUUUUCACGUGUUAGCACGGCAGUUUUAGCGUCAUCUGACCGAAGGAAGGCAGCUACUGCAACUUGCAAGCCAACAGCCGUUGCCGAGGACGGACCAGUUUAUUACCGCCGGCCAUCGUUGCUACCUGCCACGACUGUCGAACAAUAUGAAGAUAUGUAUUUCGAGCAAGAUGGCAAUCAAACCCAGGCUGCCGCUUCACAUGGGUUCACCCCAUUGUUGCUUCACAAUAAUCCUGGCGUCUCGUAAAACCUUUCAAGUGAUGUAUUUCGAUGUAUAAAACUCAGGAAUGUCUUUCAUAGUGGAAAGUGAAGGUAGUAUUGUAAAUAAGGCAAAUGGAAGUAUGUGGAUAUUAAAACUGUAAAUAUGUGGUUUUGUAAGAGUA